ACUGCCCCUAGAGGCUUUGCAGGUGUGUCCACUGUGUCAUAUGUGUGUCAAUAGGUGGCAGAGAGGAGAGUGACUAUGUCUAUGCUCAGUGUUCUGACCCAUGAACAUCAGAGUGAUUAGCAGCCUAAUAUU
ensembl:snoRNA small nucleolar RNA SNORA17